rnacentral:rRNA from 1 species
CAGCAGCCGCGGUAAAACGUAGGGUGCAAGCGUUAAUCGGAAUUACUGGGCGUAAAGCGUGCGCAGGCGGUUCGCUAAGACAGAUGUGAAAUCCCCGGGCUUAACCUGGGAACUGCAUUUGUGACUGGCGGGCUAGAGUAUGGCAGAGGGGGGUAGAAUUCCACGUGUAGCAGUGAAAUGCGUAGAGAUGUGGAGGAAUACCGAUGGCGAAGGCAGCCCCCUGGGCCAAUACUGACGCUCAUGCACGAAAGCGUGGGGAGCAAACAGGAUUAGAUACCCGAGUAGUCCCUGUCUCUUAUAC